rnacentral:rRNA from 1 species
GUGAAAGGCCCGUGAGGGUGGGGUAUAGACAAGACAGUGCUUCAUCCAUGAGUUGACCUUGGAGUCGGGUUGUUUGAGAAUGCAGCCCAAAGUGGGUGGUAAACUCCAUCCAAGGCUAAAUACUAACACGAGUCCGAUAGCAAACAAGUACCGUGAGGGAAAGUGAAAAGUACUUUGAAGAGAGAGUAAACAGCACGUGAAACCGCUCAGAGGUAAACGGGUAGAGUUGAACUGGAAUCCUUGAGGAUUCAGCUGAUGAGGGUGGUUUGAGCUUGGUCAUGUUGGUCGGCUUUCAGAGUCUGCAUGAUUCGCGGGCUCCCAUUUCGGUGGGAGUGUGCUAUGCACGUAAUGUGUUGCGCGCUCUGAGGGUUUCCGGGCCUCCUCAUCAACCUGAAAAAUCAAGGUGAUCACCACGACCGGCGCUGCUGUCUGUCUGCUUCAGUCAAACCGAUCGAGCAUGGUCUCUGUGGCUUUGUUCGGACGGGAUGGCAGGUAACCUGUUUGGUUUCGGCCUGCGGGUGCAAUGAGCUGAUUGUUGCGGAACUGUGCAGUGUGUCGGAGAUUGCGGCUGUGGUGUCAUGCGUGCUAUUGCUUGUCAGUUGUUCGUGAGUCCGACCUUCUAGUUGCUCCAAAGGGGGCCUAGUGGUGGCUUGUGGCUACUGUUCACCGGUGCCGUGUGGCACUUUCUAGGGCCAAUAGUCUGUGGUGCUGUGGUAAACUAUCUACCCGACCCCUCUUGAAACACGGACCAACGAGUCUAACAUGUGCGCGAGUCAUUGGGCGUUACGAAACCCACAGGCGAAGUGAAAGUAAAGGCUCAGCUUGUCUGGGCUGAGGUGAGAUCCUGCUGUAUCCCUUGCUCGGUGUCACCAGGCUUUAGAGCAGCAGGCGCAUCACUGGCCCGUCCCAUGGCGUAGUCGUGUUUUGCAUGCACCGUCGGGGCGGAGCUUGAGCGCACACGUUGAGACCCGAAAGAUGGUGAACUAUGCUUGCGUAGGUUGAAGCCAGAGGAAACUCUGGUGGAGGACCGCAGCGAUUCUGACGUGCAAAUCGAUCGUCAAACGUGAGUAUAGGGGCGAAA